rnacentral:rRNA from 1 species
ACUGACGCUCACGCACGAAAGCGUGGGAGCAAACAGGAUUAGAUACCCUGGUAGUCCACGCCCUAAACGAUGUCAACUGGUUGUUGGGAGGGUUUCUUCUCAGUAACGUAGCUAACGCGUGAAGUUGACCGCCUGGGGAGUACGGCCGCAAGGUUGAAACUCAAAGGAAUUGACGGGGACCCGCACAAGCGGUGGAUGAUGUGGUUUAAUUCGAUGCAACGCGAAAAACCUUACCUACCCUUGACAUGUCAGGAAUUCUGCAGAGAUGCGGAAGUGCUCGAAAGAGAACCUGAACACAGGUGCUGCAUGGCCGUCGUCAGCUCGUGUCGUGAGAUGUUGGGUUAAGUCCCGCAACGAGCGCAACCCUUGUCAUUAGUUGCUACGAAAGGGCACUCUAAUGAGACUGCCGGUGACAAACCGGAGGAAGGUGGGGAUGACGUCAGGUCAUCAUGGCCCUUAUGGGUAGGGCUACACACGUCAUACAAUGGCCGGGACAGAGGGCUGCCAACCCGCGAGGGGGAGCUAAUCCCAGAAACCCGGUCGUAGUCCGGAUCGCAGUCUGCAACUCGACUGCGUGAAGUCGGAAUCGCUAGUAAUCGCGGAUCAGCUUGCCGCGGUGAAUACGUUCCCGGGUCUUGUACACACCGCCCGUCACACCAUGGGAGCGGGUUCUGCCAGAAGUAGUUAGCCUAACCGCAAGGAGGGCGAUUACCACGGCAGGGUUCGUGACUGGGGUGAAGUCGUAACAAGGUAACCAAGGG